rnacentral:rRNA from 1 species
CCUGGCGGCCUUAGCGCGGAGGUCCCACCUGACCCCAUGCCGAACUCAGAAGUGAAACGCCGUAGCGCCGAUGGUAGUGUGGGGUCUCCCCAUGCGAGAGUAGGGAACUGCCAGGC